GACAGAGGUGCCGAGCGUUAGGCGGAAUCACUGGGCUUAAAGCGUGUGUAGGCGGGCGGGCAAGUACCUUGUGAAAUCCCACGGCUCAACCGUGGAACGGCUGGGUAUACUGCCUGUCUUGAGCCAACUAGGGGCGAGCGGAACAGACGGUGGAGCGGUGAAAUGCGUAGAUAUCGGAAGGAACGCCGGUGGCGAAAGCGGCGUGCUGGACCUCUUCUGACGCUGAGGCGCGAAAGCCAGGGGAGCGAACGGG
rnacentral:rRNA from 1 species